GUUCAUAGUUUUUGCCACUCUUUUUGAUAUACCUUGAGAGAAAGCUUUACAUGUAGCAGCCAUAUUUAAAAUAGUUAUAUAGUUUAUAUUCUGGACACUUAUUCCAUAUUAAUCAGGACCAGAAUAUCUUCAUAUUAAAUUAAUCUGGUGAUGUUUCUAAACAGGAGAUAGACCUUUGUACCAUAUACAUGGGUUGAUUUAUUUAUGUCGUAUGAAUAAAUGAAUAAUUAAACUUGACGAAUCCUUUUAUUCGCCACAAGAACCCUAUUACAUUUGGCGCCC